GGAUAACCGUAGUAAUUCGUAGGGACUAAUACGUGCGAAGCGCCGAGCCGCGAGGCGACGGCGUUCUCGCCGGAUGUAGGAACCGACCCGGGGACCGCCGGGGCAACCCGGCGCCCCCGAGACGGGGCGAACCACGGUGAAAUGACGGAUCGUCGGCCCCGCGCCGGCGACUCGCCGAAUGAGUUUCUGACCUAUCAACUCGAGACGGCGGGGUAGAGGCCCGCCGCGGUAACGACGGGUAACGGGGAAUCAGGGUUCGAUUCCGGAGAGGGAGCCCGAGAAACGGCUACCACUUCCAAGGAAGGCAGCAGGCGCGCAACUUACCCUAAUCUCGAUUCGAGGAGGUAGUGACAAGAAAUACCGAUGCGGGACCCUACGGGUGCCGCGUUCGGAAUGAGUACGAUUCGAACCACCUAACGAGGA
rnacentral:rRNA from 1 species